AGCGAACGCUGGCGGCAGGCCUAACACAUGCCAGUCGAACGGACCCUUCGGGGUUAGUGGCGGACGGGUGAGUAACACGUGGGAACGUGCCUUUAGGCUCGGAAUAGCUCCUGGAAACGGGUGGUAAUGCCGAAUGUGCCCUUCGGGGGAAAGAUUUAUCGCCUUUAGAGCGGCCCGCGUCUGAUUAGCUAGUUGGUGAGGUAACGGCUCACCAAGGCGACGAUCAGUAGCUGGUCUGAGAGGAUGACCAGCCACACUGGGACUGAGACACGGCCCAGACUCCUACGGGAGGCAGCAGUGGGGAAUCUUGCGCAAUGGGCGAGAGCCUGACGCAGCCAUGCCGCGUGAAUGAUGAAGGUCUUAGGAUUGUAAAAUUCUUUCACCGGGGACGAUAAUGACGGUACCCGGAGAAGAAGCCCCGGCUAACUUCGUG
rnacentral:rRNA from 1 species